CAUCGACUUUAAGGAUUCCAAACGGAGAAAACAGAGGAGGAGAGGAGUAUCUGAUCGCUGAGAUUUUUGCUCUGAUGGUUGCUUCAAUGGAGGAGAUGAUUGCUUCAGGAGGUUUGAAGAUCUGCCUAUGCAACCUGUUGUUUCGUUCUGACCAAAUCAUGUACAUCGAGCAUUGCCAACAGAGGAUGGAGAGAUACCGCUGGUGGCGUGAUCUAUGCGUCAGUUGAAGGUCGGCGAUGGUUUGAUCCCAGGAGGCUGACGGCGAGAACCUGCUUCUCCGUGCUAUUGUCGACCAGAUAUGCCACGAAUAGCUACAUGUGAAAAAAAGAUGGUCGCGACUUUCUGGUGCAUUGUUACAGAGAAGACAUGAGGGAUCUGUAGCAAGUCCCCAGCUCAGCAAGCGGUCUCGGGUAGGACAUCGAUUUAGGAGCAGGAGCCAGGAGAGAAAAUUGUGCUUAGGAAUACCUUGUCUUAGCCAAACAAUGCUAAACCAGGGGACCAACGGAUUGUGAUGCGUAAGCUCGCAGAGAUGAAGCAUUGCAGGAGUACUUGUGCAUCUGAUCGAGCCGGUGGGAGUAUCCAAUCACCAUCAACGUAGAGGUCUGAGACGGUGGCGAGUCUUGGGAUGCCUAAUCUUGAGUGAGGCUGGAGUUGAAGAAAAUCUGAUAUAUUUCCAUAAGGGGACCAAUUAUCGCUCCAAAAACGAGCAUGUCUUCCAUUUCCUAGCUUGACAUGAAUCCAAUUGUAGACCAAUGGCCUUAAGCGAAGAAAGCGCUUGACAAGCCAGGAAUGAUUAUUUGAUUCUUUGAUUAUCCAGAAAUUGGAGCGAUCGCCAGAUAUAAUUUCUUCAACAAACCAAGCUACCCAUAUUGAACCAGAGCUGAAGAACAGUAGCCAGAUGAGCCUGAUAGAAGUGGCCUUGUUCCAGCUUACAAGAUCCCUGAUGCCUAACCCCCCUUCCUCCUUUGCGUGAACAAUGGUGUCCCAUGCUACACGAGCCGAGUGAUGUCCCUCUAAAGUCCCUUUCCACAGAGAGGGACUCCAAGGUAUCUGAUUGGGAGGGUUCCAUGAGACAGACCUGUUUCCUCAGCAAUUUCCGUAAUUUCUGUCUGCGGUAGCCCACAAGUGAAGAAGCAGUUUUUUGAUAGACUUACUCCAAGACCCGAGUGCCUUUCGAAUUCAUUUAGUACUUCCAACACUCCUUUAACUGAUUGUUUAUCUCCUUUGGUGAAUAUUAGCAGAUCAUCAGCGAAACAUAGGUGCGUUAGUUUACUAUCCUCGCAGUUUUGAUGGUAUCCAAAUCUUCCUUCUGUCGCUGCGUUGUUGAGGAGAGUAGAUAAGCAGUUCAUUGCAACUACAAACAAGUAAGGAGAUAGGGGAUCUCCUUGACGAAGACCCCUUUUGCUCUUGAAGUACCCUUGGACCGUUCCAUUGUAUCCUACCGAGAAAGAGGCAGUACAAACGCAAGCUUCCAACCAGCGGAUAUACAGUGUAGGUAUGCCCAUGCUAGUCAGACAUGUAAAGAUGAAGUUCCAGCUUAUUGUAUCAAAAGCCUUUGCAAUGUCGACUUUUAUGGCAAUCCGUUUAGCUCCUCUGUUCCGAUGAUAACCGUGGACAAUUUCUGCAGCCAAAACCGUAUUUUCAACAAGAAGGCGUCCCUGCACAAACGCUGUUUGAUUUGGGAGGAUGAGAUCAGGCAAAAGAGGCUUGAGGCAAUGAACCAGCAGCUUAGAGAUAGCCUUAUAGAGGGUGUUACAGCACGAGAUAGGCCUGAAAUCUCCUAUUGCAGAAGCUCCUGGUCUUUUUGGGACAAGGGUUAGGAUGGUGGAGUUUGCAGCUGAGGGGAGAAAAGCUGCUGAGAAAAAAGAUUUGAUUGCAUUUACAGUUUCUGCCCCUAGAAGAUUCCAAGCAGACUUGAAAAAUCCCGAACAUCAGGGAGUGUGAUCGUAGAUUGUGCUUGGGAGACCUGACAUCGGUGCUGGAUCAAUGAUUGGAACCAUUGGAGGGAGGAGAUCGAUUCUGGUAGAACUGCAGGGGAUAGGAGAGCCUGGAAGUGAGAAACAGCAUGAAGUCCCAUCGCUAGGGGGUCCGUAAUCAGAGCACCUGAUGGUAGCGAGAAUGAUCUGAUGGAGUUGAAAGAUGCUCGGACUUGGACUAGACGAUGAAAGUAUGUGGUGAUUGCCAUAUUUUCUUCAUUCCAACAACUACAUCAUUGUUUCUUCCUUCUUAGUUCCAACAAUCACAAGACUCACAACUCACUGCCGAAGAUUUGUUGAAAAAACAUGUUACUCAGUUGAAAAAUUCGGGAAGCUCCAGAAUAGUUGUGCACAAUAAAAAUGAUCACACGUCGAUUUGAUAUUAAACUUAAUCUAUAUUAUUAAAAUAGAAGUAUCUAUUUGAAAAUGUUUUUACUUCAUUAAUUAAAUUUCCUUUUUUUUUGCUUGUC